UGGGGUGAAGCUCAGUGGUACAGUACUUGCCUAGCAUGUGCAAGGCCCUGGGUUUGAUCCCCAGCACUGCAA
rnacentral:tRNA from 1 species